rnacentral:rRNA from 1 species
AUUGAACGCUGGCGGCAUGCCUUACACAUGCAAGUCGAACGGCAGCACGGGAGCAAUCCUGGUGGCGAGUGGCGAACGGGUGAGGUAAUAUAUCGGAACGUGCCCAGUCGUGGGGAUAACGGUAGCGAAAGCUACGCUAAUACCGCAUACGAUCUAUGGAUGGAAAGCGGGGGGAAUCGCAAGACCUCGCGCGAUUGGAGCGGCCGAUAUCAGAUUAGGUAGUUGGUGAGGUAAAGGCUCACCAAGCCGACGAUCUGUAGCUGGUCUGAGAGGACGACCAGCCACACUGGGACUGAGACACGGCCCAGACUCCUACGGGAGGCAGCAGUGGGGAAUUUUGGACAAUGGGCGCAAGCCUGAU